rnacentral:rRNA from 1 species
AUUGAACGCUGGCGGCAGGCUUAACACAUGCAAGUCGAGCGGGGGAGGUUGCUUCGGUAACUGACCUAGCGGCGGACGGGUGAGUAAUGCUUAGGAAUCUGCCUAUUAGUGGGGGACAACAUUCCGAAAGGGAUGCUAAUACCGCAUACGCCCUACGGGGGAAAGCAGGGGAUCUUCGGACCUUGCGCUAAUGGAUGAGCCUAAGUCGGAUUAGCUAGUUGGUGGGGUAAAGGCCUACCAAGGCGAAGAUCUGUAGCGGGUCUGAGAGGAUGAUCCGCCACACUGGGACUGAGACACGGCCCAGACUCCUACGGGAGGCAGCAGUGGGGAAUAUUGGACAAUGGGCGGAAGCCUGAUCCAGCCAUGCCGCGUGUGUGAAGAAGGCCUUUUGGUUGUAAAGCACUUUAAGCGAGGAGGAGGCUACUAGUACUAAUACUACUGGAUAGUGGACGUUACUCGCAGAAUAAGCACCGGCUAACUCCGUGCCAGCCGCCGCUGUAAUAC